CAAUACAUAUAAAGAAAGAAUUUCUUAUAUAAAGACAAAGGCAAACUUCAUUCAUUGAUAAAGAAAGAUAUAUUACAUAAUCAAGUCCCAAAAAGAGCAUUCAUUGAGUCCAAAAAUAAAUUUGACUACUGCAUAAAAUAUUUGACAUCAAAAUGCUCAAAAUGCAACUACAUGCAUUCUAUAAACCACGUAAUCUAUGGU
rnacentral:lncRNA from 1 species